UAAAGAUUCAUCGGCUGCGGAUGGCCAUGCGGCGCAUUAGCUAGUCGGCGGGGUAACGGCCCACCGAGGCGACGAUGCGUAGGGGUUCUGAGAGGAAGGUCCCCCACACUGGUACUGAGACACGGACCAGACUCCUACGGGAGGCAGCAGUGAGGAAUAUUGGUCAAUGGCCGGGAGGCUGAACCAGCCAAGUCGCGUGAGGGAAGACGGCCCUACGGGUUGUAAACCUCUUUUGUCAGGGAGCAAGAGGCGGGUCGAGACCUGCUGUGAGAGUACCUGAAGAAAAAGCAUCGGCUAACUCCGUGCCAGCAGCCGCGGUAAUACGGAGGAUGCGAGCGUUAUCCGGAUUUAUUGGGUUUAAAGGGUGCGCAGGCGGAGGCACAAGUCAGCGGUAAAAUCGCGGGGCUCAACCCCGCUCCGCCGUUGAAACUGUGUCCCUUGAGUGCGCGAAGGGUAGGCGGAAUGCGUGGUGUAGCGGUGAAAUGCAUAGAUAUCACGCAGAACUCCGAUCGCGAAGGCAGCCUACCGGCGCGCAACUGACGCUCAUGCACGAAAGCGUGGGUAUCGAACAGGAUUAGAUACCCUGGUAGUCCACGCAGUAAACGAUGAAUGCUA
rnacentral:rRNA from 1 species